rnacentral:rRNA from 1 species
GAUGAAGGAGGGCGAAAGCCAUCUGGAGGUCUUAAGACGUUCUGACGUGCAAAUCGUUGUUGUGACUUGGGAAUAGGGGUCAAAAACCAAUCUAGACUGGCGCUCGCUAGUUCCAACCGAAGCGUCUCGCAGGGCGUGGUUUGUGGAGAUAGCGUUUCCGGUAGAGCACUGAUAGAAGGGCGCGGGGGAGAAAUCCCUCACCCUCCAUUCAAACUCCGAACGGAUACGCAUUGAAGAAGCAGGCACACGGGCUCAUGUGGCGUAAGGCUCAUGGCCGAAAGGGGUUUAACCCAGACUGAAGUUAAGGUCCCCAAAUUUUUGCUAAGUGUCAAGCGAAAGAGCGUGUUCUCGCCAAGACAGCAGGGAGGUAAGCUCAGAAGCAGCUAUCCUUUAAAAAGUGUGUAACAACUUACCUGCCGAGGGGGGAUGCCUCAAAAACGGACGGGGCUAAAGCAAAAUACCGAUACUUUAGAUAAUUAUCAAGAGAUGAUUCGUGGUAGGUUGGCGUAGUGAUUGGGCCGAAGCAGGGCGAUGACGUCCUGUGGACCGAUUUCUAUUGCAGAUCUUGGCGGCAGUAACAGCAUAGUAUUGUGAGAACCAAUACCACCGCAAGCGCAAGGGUUUCCAGGCAAUGCGUUAUCAGCCUGGAGGUAGUCGAUCCUAAGAUGUGCCUCAACAGAGUACAUCGAAUGGGAAAUUAGUUAAUAUUCUAAUACCUUGUAUCAAUCGUUUGAGCUAUAUGGUUCGCUUCCGGAUAAGGAGUGUACAAUUAUCGUUGUAUCUAACUAUUCGAGGAUUGGGGAGUGUCGUAAUGACGAGAACCUUUCCGAGGUAGGAAUGGCUUCGCGUUAGCGAAGUUUUCUUGAUUCCAGGAGACCAUGAAAGAUUGUGUAGUUAGAAAGAUACAAGUUCGUACCCAGAACCGACACAGGUGCGCUGGCUUAGAAAGCUAAGGUGCUACGGGUAUACCGUAUGGCGAGGGAAUUCGGCAAAUUAGUCCUGUAGCUUAGGUAUAAGGGAUGCCUGCGGUCUUCAUGAGGAAUGGGGAUCGCAGGUUGCAAUGACAAGGGGGUUUCGACUGUUUAAUAAAAACACAGGCGACUGCUAGUCCGAAAGGAUUUGUAUAGUCGCUGAAUCCUGGCCGGUGCCGGUACCUAAAACUUGGGUUCAACCGAGCUAAGGGCCGGUUAACGCCGGGAGUAACUCUGACUCUCUUAAGGUAGCCAAAUGCCUUGUCGGGUAAGUUCCGACGCGCAUGAAUGGAACAACGAGAGCCCCACUGUCCCCGCCUACAACCCGGUGAAGCCACAUAAGGUGGACGAACAGUCCAUCAACUUCCAUCGGGGAGAGAAGACCCCGUGGAGUUUUACUGCAGCUUGUGCUUGUGGUAUAGUAAGAAUUGCACAGGGUAUCUGGGAGCUAUGCUUAACAUUCCCCGGGAUGUUAAUGAAGCAACGAUGUAACACCAGACUCUUUUUGCAGUACCACUUAUCCAGUGAAGACCGGAGACACGUGCAGGUAGGCAGUUCGGCUGGGGCGGCACCCCUUUGAAAAGAUAUCAAAGGGGCCCAAAGUUGAGUUCAAACGGGGCAGAAAUCCGUUGAAGAGGGCAAAGCCAAAAACUCGACUGAAUGGAUUUCCAAACGCACGGAAUUCAUAGACGAAAGUCUGGCUUAGCGAUCCUUCGUGUGCCCACUAUUGGGGCCCGGAGGUGACAGAAAAAUUACCCCAGGGAUAACAGGCUCGUCGCGGGCGAGAGCUCCUAUCGACCCCGCGGUUUGGUACCUCGAUGUCGGCUUUUCCUAUCCUGGUCCUGCAGCAGGGGCCAAGGGUGAGGCUGCUCGCCUAUUAAAAGGGAACAUGAGCUGGGUUUAGACCGUCGUGAGACAGGUCGGUCUCUGCCUGAUGGAAGCGUGAAUAACUGAGGGGAAGUUCCUCCUAGUACGAGAGGAACAGAGGAGCGUGGCCACUGGUUUACCGGUUGUCUGAUAAGGCAGGCCGGGCAGCUAAGCCGUUUGGGCUAAGUGCUGAAAGCAUCUAAGCACGAAUCCCAUCCCGAGACAAGUUAUUCUUUCGUAAGAUGAAGGUCGGCAGCAAAAUACUGCGUUGAUAGGAAGGUGGUGUAGAUCACAAGCUUCGGCGAGUGGUGAGCCAGCCUUUACUAAUAGACCAACACAUCAGUU